ensembl:lncRNA
AGAGUACCACCAUACUCUCACAACCACAGCCCACCUCAAGCCUUGAGCAGCCAAGGUCCAGUUACACUCAGACCCAUAGUCCCAGAGUCACCUCUGAGGUCAUCAGGAGAGGUGGAAGGUCACGAUGGCUCAAAGGAAAAUAGUUCAUCUUUCCCUCAGUGCUGGAGGGUCCCAGUCAGGGACAUCAGACUCAGACCAGCCCAAACAGACAGGCCCCCCAACCAGGAGGGCCCGUUUACCUAAACCCAAACCCAACUUGGGUCUCACCGCCAAAGCCGCUACGCGCUCUGCAGUCCAAUUACCAGAAAGCAGGCCAAGCCCUGAAGUCCAGACACCAGAGGAAGCUGAUGAGGUUCCCAUGGAAAUACAACAGAUCCACCAAGUCUCCCCCCUUUGUGACAUCAUCGAUACGACCCAGGGCGAUAUCUCUCUCUUUACGGAGGGAAGCUUUUUCUCGCAACAAAGUGAUGCUGUCUUCAUACAGCACUCAGAAACGUCUGUGUCGACUGCUCCGUUGGACCAGGCCCAGUCAGACCCGGAUGAGCCUAUAUUCAUCCUCUCCCUGACUGAAAUCCCAGUGCUCCCCGCAGGGGAGGAGAAUGGCUGCACAUCCCAGACCCUCUCUGAGCCUUUCUUUUUUCUACCAGACGCAGGCGCUCAACUGCAGCAGAGCAGUGAUAUUGUUGCCCCCGGAGGUAGUUUGGAGAAAGGGAAUGCUGGUGUCCUCUGUGAAGUCCCUGAGCCUAUGUCAGUGGAUGAGGUCCUUCCUCAACCCUCAUACACCAGUAUCAAGGAAGUGGAGUCUGGCUCCACGGCGGGUCCAGUAGGUGUGUGUGCCUCGGCCAAACCCUCAGAAGACUCCAUGGCUGAUGCAGAGACUAGUGAGGACACGCAUCCUCCUUCUAAGAAGAGGAAAGCGCCAGAGAGAGCCAGGAGAGACAAACUGCAGGUGAGACCUAACACUGCAGUAAGGGAACAGACCAGUUGUUCGGCCCCUGCCAAGGAGGCUGUGUCACCCAUUACCCCAGACCAGACACCCUCUUUGACCACUACCACCCUAGACACUUACCACCUCCCUGCCUCCAGUCCCCUGGCCCAGCCAGGCCCCUCCGUCACGGGAACUGCAUCACAGCAGGGGACUGUGGGCUGUUUCGAUCAUACAGAGACCGAGCACACGCCGACUGGAGGGGAGGACAAUAGUUCAGGGGCGGAGUCUCAGGCUGCCCGUCAAAUUACACCGCUGGCUAUGAGUGGCCCCUUGAGCAGGCCUGGUAGGAGACCCAGAGGAUUCCUGUCUUUCAUGUCCAAUAAGAACGCCUCCCCUGUAGCUGCCCCCCCCCGAGGUACCAGAGCAGCCGCUCGGAGGCCCCAGGUCAACACCACCCGCCCAGGGGGGAAACGGGCUGCUCCUGCACCUUCCACCACAACCAGAACCAUGCCUUCACCUCCCAUAAUGCAUUACACCACCACCCCCACUAGGGCCACCAGAACCACCACUAAGCCAGAUUUUUCCGCCAGGGUGACUCAGGAAAAACCCUCUGAUGCCCUGGCCUUACACUCAGACCCAGAGCCCAGUACUUCCCUGUGUACUACAGCUACUGAGUCCUCUCAGGUGCCAGCCGCCCAGUCCAGUGCGUCUCCCUGUGUGGACAGCGGUUCAGCAGACGAGGAACCCAUCAACGUGUCCCAGUACUUCUUCAGUGACAUCUUCACCGAGGUCGAGGAGAAUGAGGGAUGAGAGACGGAGGAAGGGAAAGGAGAUCAAAAAGGCACUCUCUCUCUCUUUGUUUGAAUCAAACUGGAGAACAAAAUGUUAAACACUUAAGAAAACAUGUUUUUGUAUCUACCACUGAGAUUACGUUUCUGCUUGCUUAUGUUUAUGCGAACAAGGUUUCAUGCUUGCAGCGAACAGAUUUGGUCACAAGAUGGCAACAGUGAAACCAAACUAGGGAUAAUUCCUCUUCAAAUUUUGGGGGGGACCAAACUGGCGCGCCUUUAAGCUACUUUCCUAUAUUGAAUGAUUACGUUUUUUUGGCUAUUUUACCCCAAUCAUAUCAUCUAGCCUAUUGAGUAAUCUAUUCAAUCUAAUAACAUAUUUAUAUUUAUUUGGUUUGUAUUUUUUCAAACCACACCAAGCCAGACAUUCAUGAUCAUUUCCCUCUAUCUGCAAGAAGGAGAAUACUUGAAAUCAGUGUCAACUCACUCUACUACAGGGACUUUCACAUUCAAAUUUGUGUUCUUAUUUGAAAUAUUGUUUACAUAGGUAGCCAUUGUCUAAACAUGAGCAUUGUGUGUAUAUAUGUUUAUUAUAAUUUAGAUCUGAUAUAUUGGAGGGGUAUGUAUCCUUAACAUUUACUUUGGUUUUUCACUCUUCAUGCUUGAACAAGACCCAGCUUUGCAGCUUGAGGGACAGCACAGCAAUGUCUCUUUAUUUCAUGCUCCCUGAAGAUACAGGAAAUAUAAUUUCAAAUGGCGCUGGAACAGAAUCCUCUAGUUUAAUCCAUGUACAGUGACAAACUCACAGAAACAGUGCACAGAUCAUGAGUUCAAUUCCAGUUCUGAAUGAUUGAUUAUGUUCUGCAGCCACUGUUGGUUCAAACUAACAUAGCUGUUCUGUAGCUUAUGUCAAAUAUGUGAAUAAAGUUUUAUACGGUAAUGUCUACUUUAUGUUUCAUGUGUUGCGAUAACAGAU